AUGAACGCUGGCGGCGUGCCUAAUCCAUGCCAGUCGCGCGAACAGACGAGGAGCUUGCUCCUUUGACGUUAGCGGCGGACGGGUGAGUAACACGUGGGUAACCUACCUAUAAGACUGGGAUAACUUCGGGAAACCGGAGCUAAUACCGGAUAAUAUUUCGAACCGCAUGGUUCGAUAGUGAAAGAUGGCUUUGCUAUCACUUAUAGAUGGACCUGCGCCGUAUUAGCUAGUUGGUAAGGUAACGGCUUACCAAGGCAACGAUACGUAGCCGACCUGAGAGGGUGAUCGGCCACACUGGAACUGAGACACGGUCCAGACUCCUACGGGAGGCAGCAGUAGGGAAUCUUCCGCAAUGGGCGAAAGCCUGACGGAGCAACGCCGCGUGAGUGAUGAAGGUCUUCGGAUCGUAAAACUCUGUUAUUAGGGAAGAACAAACGUGUAAGUAACUGUGCACGUCUUGACGGUACCUAAUCAGAAAGCCACGGCUAACUACGUG
rnacentral:rRNA from 1 species